rnacentral:rRNA from 1 species
UACGGAGGGUGCAAGCGUUAUCCGGAUUUACUGGGUUUAAAGGGUGCGUAGGUGGGCAAGUAAGUCAGUGGUGAAAUCUCCGGGCUUAACCCGGAAACUGCCAUUGAUACUAUUUGUCUUGAAUACUGUGGAGGUCAGCGGAAUAUGUCAUGUAGCGGUGAAAUGCGUAGAUAUCGAGAGGAACACCUGCGGCGAAGGCGGGUUGCUGGGCUGACACUGACGCUGAUGCGCGAAAGCUAGGGGAGCGAACGGG